UUGCUCACUUCAACAGCACAUAUACUGAAACUGAAACAACAAAGAGAUUAGCAUUACCCUUGUACAAGGAUGACACACAAAUUUGUUAAGCCUUCCAUAUUUUU
ensembl:snRNA U6 U6 spliceosomal RNA